GGUAAAGGAGCCGUACACAUAACC
rnacentral:piRNA from 1 species